rnacentral:rRNA from 1 species
AAAUUUAAAUCUUAUGAUAAUAUCCCGAGGUAGUAGGGGCUAUAUAGUAAUUAAGUUGUUUUUGUAGCAAUAAAAUUGGUAAUUAUUAUAUAGUAAUGAAAUAUUAGACGGUUACUUGGAUAUCUGGUUGUUAAAAGUGGUGGUAUAUACCUAAAAAAUUAUUAGGGAUUAGCUUGAUAAUAGUAUAGUAUAAUAUAUGUCUUGAAAGGAGAAGGUCUUAAUAGUAGACAAUAUUAGUGUGUUAUUACUAUAAUUUAAAAUAUAAAGAUUAAAUUUGAUUACUAUAUUUAAUAACAAUAAAAUAGAUUUAUAACAUUUUAUUAAUAAUGAUAGUAUGAGUAAGUAAAUUUUAGUAAAUAAUAUUUUAAAAAUAAAUAAAAUAAAUAAAUGGGAGAUAAUUUGUAAGAAUUAGGCAAAUAUACCUCUUAAAUGUUUAUCAAAAACAUUUCUCUUAGUCUAAAUAUAAUUAAGAGUAGGGCCUGCCCGGUGAUUUAAACGGCUGCGGUAUUUUGCCCGUACAAAGGUAGCAAAAUAAUUUGUUCUUUAAUUGGGGACUGGUAUGAAUGGUUAUAUAAAAGGUAUACUGUUUAAAGUUAAAAAUAUAAUUUUAUUAUUAAGUGAAAAGGCUUAAAUAUAUUAAAGUGACAAGAAGACCCUAAGAGCUUUAUAGGAUUUUAUAUGUUAGUUAGUAAGAAUAAUAGGCUAAUAUAUAAAAUUUUAUUUUACUGGGGCGGUAAAUAUAUUAACAAUUAUUAAAAAUACUAGAAUGUUAGAAUUAGUUGAAUUUUUAUCUAUGUUAGAAUAAAUAACUAGUUACCUUAGGGAUAACAGCAUAAUCUUUUUAGAGAGAUCAUAUUGACAAAAAGGUUUGUGACCUCGAUGUUGGAUUUAGAUGUCUUUAAGGUGCAGCAGCUUUAUAAGAUGUCUGUUCGACCAUUAAAAUUA